GACGUAGGGCGCGAGCGUUGUCCGGAUUUAUUGGGCGUAAAGAGCUCGUAGGCGGCUUGUCGCGUCGUCCGUCGAAAACCCGGGGGCUCAACCCCCGGGCUUGCGGGUCGAUACGGGCAGGCUGGAGUUCGGUAGGGGAGACUGGAAUUCCUGGUGUAGCGGUGAAAUGCGCAGAUAUCAGGAGGAACACCUAUUGCGAAGGCAGCUCGCUGGGACGUAACUGACGCUGAGACGCGAAAGCGUGGGGAGCAAACAGG
rnacentral:rRNA from 1 species